UACGGAGGGUGCAAGCGUUAAUCGGAAUUACUGGGCGUAAAGCGCACGCAGGCGGUCUGUCAAGUCGGAUGUGAAAUCCCCGGGCUCAACCUGGGAACUGCAUCCGAAACUGGCAGGCUAGAGUCUUGUAGAGGGGGGUAGAAUUCCAGGUGUAGCGGUGAAAUGCGUAGAGAUCUGGAGGAAUACCGGUGGCGAAGGCGGCCCCCUGGACAAAGACUGACGCUCAGGUGCGAAAGCGUGGGGAGCAAACAGG
rnacentral:ncRNA from 4 species